UACGUAGGGAGCAAGCGUUGUUCGGAUUUACUAGGGCGUAAAGGCGCGUAGGCGGCAAUUCAAGUCAGCUGUGAAAUCUCCGGGCUUAACUCGGAACGGUCAGCUGAUACUGCUUUGGCUAGAGUGCGGAAGGGGCAAUCGGAAUUCUCGGUGUAGCGGUGAAAUGCGCAGAUAUCAGGAGGAACACCGAUGGCGAAGGCAGGUCUCUGGGACCACUAACGUGACGCUGGAGAAGCGAAAGCAUGGGGAGCGAACAGG
rnacentral:rRNA from 1 species